UACGAGUACCCCAAGCGUUAUCCGGAAUCAUUGGGCGUAAAGGGUGUGUAGGCGGCCUAAUUAGUCUCCUGUUAAAACUUCAGGCUCAACCUGAAGAUUGCAGGGGAAACGGUUAGGCUAGAGAGUGCGAGAGGUGAAUGGAACUCAUGGAGUAGGGGUGAAAUCCGUUGAUAUCAUGGGGAACACCGAAAGCGAAGGCAAUUCACUGGCGCAUUUCUGACGCUGAAACACGAAAGCGUGGGUAGCGAACGGG
rnacentral:rRNA from 1 species